rnacentral:rRNA from 1 species
GUGAAUCAUCGAGUCUUUGAACGCACCUUGCGUUCCCUGGUAUUCCGGGGAGCAUGCCUGUUUGAGUGUCAUGGUAUUCUCAACCUUCGAUAACUUUGUUGUUGUCGAAGGCUUGGACUUGGAGGUUUGUGUCUGGCUUCUCGUCAAGUCGGCUCCUCUUAAAUGCAUUAGCGCGAGUGUAACGGAUCGCUUCGAUGUGAUAAUUAUCUGCGUCGUAGUCGUGAAGUAAACAUAAGCUUGUGCUUCUAACCGUCCUUCAGUUGGACAACGGUUUACUCUGACAUCUGGCCUCAAAUCAGGUAUGGACUACCCGCUGAACUUAAGCAUAUCAAUAAGCGGUAGG